GAUGAACGCUGGCGGCGUGCCUAAUACAUGCAAGUCGAGCGAACGGACGAGAAGCUUGCUUUUCUGAUGUUAGCGGCGGACGGGUGAGUAACACGUGGAUAACCUACCUAUAAGACUGGGAUAACUUCGGGAAACCGGAGCUAAUACCGGAUAAUAUUUUGAACCGCAUGGUUCAAAAGUGAAAGACGGUCUUGCUGUCACUUAUAGAUGGAUCCGCGCUGCAUUAGCUAGUUGGUAAGGUAACGGCUUACCAAGGCAACGAUGCAUAGCCGACCUGAGAGGGUGAUCGGCCACACUGGAACUGAGACACGGUCCAGCCUACUACGGGAGGCAGCAGUAGGGACUCUUCCGCAAUGGGCGAAAGCCUGACGGAGCAACGCCGCGUGAGUGAUGAAGGUCUUCGGAUCGUAAAACUCUGUUAUUAGGGAAGAACAUAUGUGUAAGUAACUGUGCACAUCUUGACGGUACCUAAUCAGAAAGCCACGGCUAACUACGUG
rnacentral:rRNA from 1 species